UACGUAGGGGGCAAGCGUUGUCCGGAUUUAUUGGGCGUAAAGAGCGUGUAGGCGGUUUUACAGGUCCGCUGUGAAAACUCGAGGCUCAACCUCGAGCUGUCGUGGAACCGUAAGGCUAGAGUCCGAAGAGGAGAGUGGAAUUCCGUGGUGUAGCGGUGAAAUGCGCAGAUAUCAGGAAGAACACCCGUGGCGAAGGCGGCUCUCUGGGACGGUACUGACGCUGAGACGCGAAGCGUGGGGAGCGAACAGGAUAGAA
rnacentral:rRNA from 1 species